CGAUGCAUACUAGGUGAUGGCACGGCCAUGAGCCGUGUCAGUGCCGUAGGGAAACCGUUAAGUGUGCACGCUCUGGCGAAGUACGGUCGCAAGGCUAAAACUUAAAGGAAUUGGCGGGGGAGCACCACAACGGGGUGAAGCCCUGCGGUUUAAUUGGACUCAACGCCGGGAAACUUACCAGGGGAGACAGCAGAAUGAUGGUCAGGUUGACGACCUUACCUAACGAGCUGAGAGGAGGUGCAUGGCCGUCGCCAGUUCGUGCUGUGAGGUAUCCUGUUAAGUCAGGCAACGAACGAGAUCCGCGCCUUUAUUUGCCAGCAAGAAGUCACGACUUCGUUGGGAACACUAAAGGGACCGCCGUCGAUAAGACGGAGGAAGGAGCGGGCAAAGGCAGGUCAGUAUGCCCCGAAACCCCUGGGCUACACGCGGGCUGCAAUGGUAUGAACAAUGGGCUGUAACUCCGAAAGGAGAAACCAAUCCCGAAAUCAUAUCUCAGUGGGAAUUGUCGGCUGUAACUCGCUGACAUGAACGUGGAAUCCCUAGUAAUCGUG
rnacentral:rRNA from 1 species